GAGGAAUAAGCAUCGGCUAACUCCGUGCCAGCAGCCGCGGUAAUACGGGGGAUGCAAGCGUUAUCCGGAAUCAUUGGGCGUAAAGCGCCUGUAGGUUGUUUAAUAAGUCUGUUGUUAAAGACUAGGGCUUAACCCUAGAAAAGCAAUGGAAACUACUAGACUAGAGUAUGGCAGGGGUAGAGGGAAUUUCUAGUGUAGCGGUGAAAUGCGUAGAUAUUAGAAAGAACACCAGUGGCGAAAGCGCUCUACUGGACCAUUACUGACACUCAGAGGCGAAAGCUAGGGUAGCAAAAGGGAUUAGAUACCCCUGUAGUCCUAGCCGUAAACGAUGGAUACUAGAUGUUGUGUUUUAUAGACAGUAUCGUAGCUAACGCGUUAAGUAUCCCGCCUGGGGAGUACGCUCGCAAGGGUGAAACUCAAAGGAAUUGACGGGGGCCCGCACAAGCGGUGGAGCAUGUGGUUUAAUUCGAUGCAACGCGAAGAACCUUACCAGGACUUGACAUACUACAAAUUCUUUUGAGAAAAAGAAGUGCCUUCGGGAAUGUAGAUACAGGUGGUGCAUGGCUGUCGUCAGCUCGUGUCGUGAGAUGUUGGGUUAAGUCCCGCAACGAGCGCAACCCUUAUUUUUAGUUACCAAUUCGUUGGGUUCUCUAGAAAGACUGCCGGUGACAAACCGGAGGAAGGUGAGGAUGACGUCAAGUCAGCAUGCCCCUUAUGUCCUGGGCUACACACGUGCUACAAUGGUUAAGACAAAGAGUUGCGAGCUCGCGAGAGUCAGCUAAUCUCAUAAACUUAGCCUAAGUUCAGAUUGUAGGCUGCAACUCGCCUGCGUGAAG
rnacentral:rRNA from 1 species